rnacentral:rRNA from 1 species
GACGAACGCUGGCGGCGUGCUUAACACAUGCAAGUCGAGCGGUAAGGCCCUUUCGGGGGUACACGAGCGGCGAACGGGUGAGUAACACGUGGGUGACCUGCCCUCAGCUCUGGGAUAAGCCCGGGAAACUGGGUCUAAUACCGGAUAUGACCACAUGUCGCAUGGUGUGUGGUGGAAAGUCCUGGGUUUAGUUGUCUGGGUUCGGCUGGGGAUGGGCCCGCGGCCUAUCAGCUUGUUGGUGGGGUGAUGGCCUACCAAGGCGA